AGUGAACGCUGGCGGUAGGCCUAACACAUGCAAGUCGAACGGCAGCACAGUAAGAGCUUGCUCUUACGGGUGGCGAGUGGCGGACGGGUGAGGAAUACAUCGGAAUCUACUUUUUCGUGGGGGAUAACGUAGGGAAACUUACGCUAAUACCGCAUACGACCUACGGGUGAAAGCAGGGGAUCUUCGGACCUUGCGCGAUUGAAUGAGCCGAUGUCGGAUUAGCUAGUUGGCGGGGUAAAGGCCCACCAAGGCGACGAUCCGUAGCUGGUCUGGGAGGAUGAUCAGCCACACUGGAACUGAGACACGGUCCAGACUCCUACGGGAGGCAGCAGUGGGGAAUAUUGGACAAUGGGCGCAGGCCUGAUCCAGCCAUACCGCGUGGGUGAAGAAGGCCUUCGGGUUGUAAAGCCCUUUUGUUGGGAAAGAAAAGCAGCAGGUUAAUACCCCGCUGUUCUGACGGUACCCAAAGAAUAAGCACCGGCUAACUUCGUG
rnacentral:rRNA from 1 species